GCAGCAGCCGCGGUAAUACGGAGGGUGCAAGCGUUAAUCGGAAUUACUGGGCGUAAAGCGCACGCAGGCGGUCUGACAAGUCAGAUGUGAAAUCCCCGGGCUUAACCUGGGAACUGCAUUUGAAACUGUCAGGCUGGAGUCUUGUAGAGGGGGGUGGAAUUCCAGGUGUAGCGGUGAAAUGCGUAGAGAUCUGGAGGAAUACCGGUGGCGAAGGCGGCCCCCUGGACAAAGACUGACGCUCAGGUGCGAAAGCGUGGGGAGCAAACAGGAUUAGAUACCCGUGUAGUCCCUGUCUCUUAUAC
rnacentral:rRNA from 1 species